UGCAAGCGGAGCAUCCCUCGGUCGAUGGUGACGUUUGGUUUUUCGCAACUAGCUCCCGCUCUUUGUGUCCGUGUGUGAACUGUCAAAAAACCGAAAAAGUUCACAUGUGGUUUGUUCUUUAUUGUACCCAGAAGCUGCCAUAGGAAUAACCUGAAUACUUACCGAAUACUUACCGAAAACAAAAGUAGGAAAGAGGAAAGGAAGAUAGUUAGAAAAGCUGGUCGGAAGGUAUUAGCGUGGGAGGAAAAUUUGAAAUUUUAGCCUGCAUAAAAAAGGUGCUUGCUCAUUAUUUCUUUCCGUUCGGGGACGACCGAACAAACUAAAAUUUCAAAGUUUGGAUCGCACCUCACCCUCGGCACGAUGAGCGACCAGGAACUAGACUACACUACAACGCCGUGCGGCAAGUGCGGAUUGGCUCCAAAGGAACUAGGUGGAAUGGUUGCAUGCGACCACUGCAACAAUUGGUAUGAUUACGCUUGCGCGGGUGUAACCGAUACCGUUAAGAGGAAGAAAAAAUGGUUCUGCGAUAAUGCAGUUUGUGUGGC